GACGUAGGGGGCGAGCGUUGUCCGGAAUCACUGGGCGUAAAGGGUGCGUAGGCGGUCAUGCAAGUCCGAGGUGAAAGACCGGUGCUCAACGCCGGGGGUGCCUUGGAAACUGUAUGACUUGAGUGCUGGAGAGGCAAGGGGAAUUCCGCAUGUAGCGGUGAAAUGCGUAGAUAUGCGGAGGAAUACCAGUGGCGAAGGCGCCUUGCUGGACAGUGACUGACGCUGAGGCACGAAAGCGUGGGGAGCAAACAGG
rnacentral:rRNA from 1 species